GACGAACGCUGGCGGCGUGCCUAAUACAUGCAAGUAGGACGCAGUUGCGAACGGAUGAGUAACGCGUAGGUAACUACCUAUUAGAGAGGGAUAACUAUUGGAAACGAUAGCUAAUACCGCAUACUAGUAGAUGGACCUGCGUUGGAUUAGUUAGUAGGUAGGGUAAUGGCCUACCUAGGCAACGAUACAUAGCCGACCUGAGAGGGUGAUCGUGCAAACGGGGAAGUGGAUAAGGCCCAGACUCCGACGGGAGGCAGCAGUAGGGAAUCGUCGGAAAUGGGGGGAACCCUGACCGAGCUACGCCGCUGGAGGUAAGAAGGUUUUCGGAUCGGAAAGCUCUGUUGUUAAGGAAGCGGUACUUAACCAGAAAGGGACGGCUAACUACGUGCCAGCCGCCGCGGUAAUAC
rnacentral:rRNA from 1 species